CCAGCCAUACCGCGUGGGUGAAGAAGGCCUUCGGGUUGUAAAGCCCUUUUGUUGGGAAAGAAAAGCAGUCGAUUAAUACUCGGUUGUUCUGACGGUACCCAAAGAAUAAGCACCGGCUAACUUCGUGCCAGCAGCCGCGGUAAUACGAAGGGUGCAAGCGUUACUCGGAAUUACUGGGCGUAAAGCGUGCGUAGGUGGUUGUUUAAGUCUGUUGUGAAAGCCCUGGGCUCAACCUGGGAAUUGCAGUGGAUACUGGGCGACUAGAGUGUGGUAGAGGGUAGUGGAAUUCCCGGUGUAGCAGUGAAAUGCGUAGAGAUCGGGAGGAACAUCCAUGGCGAAGGCAGCUACCUGGACCAACACUGACACUGAGGCACGAAAGCGUGGGGAGCAAACAGGAUUAGAUACCCUGGUAGUCCACGCCCUAAACGAUGCGAACUGGAUGUUGGGUGCAAUUUGGCACGCAGUAUCGAAGCUAACGCGUUAAGUUCGCCGCCUGGGGAGUACGGUCGCAAGACUGAAACUCAAAGGAAUUGACGGGGGCCCGCACAAGCGGUGGAGUAUGUGGUUUAAUUCGAUGCAACGCGAAGAACCUUACCUGGUCUUGACAUGUCGAGAACUUUCCAGAGA
rnacentral:rRNA from 1 species